rnacentral:rRNA from 1 species
ACGCACGCUGGCGGCGUGCUUAACCCAUGCCAGUCGCACGGAAAGGCCCUGCUUUUGUGGGGUGCUCGAGUGGCGAACGGGUGAGUAACACGUGAGUAACCUGCCCUUGACUUUGGGAUAACUUCAGGAAACUGGGGCUAAUACCGGAUAGGAGCUCCUGCUGCAUGGUGGGGGUUGGAAAGUUUCGGCGGUUGGGGAUGGACUCGCGGCUUAUCAGCUUGUUGGUGGGGUAGUGGCUUACCAAGGCUUUGACGGGUAGCCAGCCUGAGAGGGUGACCGGCCACAUUGGGACUGAGAUACGGCCCAGACUCCUACGGGAGGCAGCAGUGGGGAAUAUUGCACAAUGGGCGGAAGCCUGAUGCAGCAACGCCGCGUGCGGGAUGACGGCCUUCGGGUUGUAAACCGCUUUCGCCUGUGACGAAGCGUGAGUGACGGUAAUGGGUAAAGAAGCACCGGCUAACUACGUG